AACUAUAAGAUAGGGAGCUAUAGUAAUGGUUGUAACACGUCAUAAAAUUACACAACAACAUCACCUUAUGGCAACAAUUGCAAUGAAAAUGAAGAAAUAAGAACGAUGAAUCUUUAGCAUAAAAAAUGCGUGCGUCAGGGAAGCUAAAUACCAUAUCUUUUAUAUGGCAUGCUUUACACGAAUACAACAUUACACUGCCGCACUUGCGAUGAUCGUAAAAAGGUCGUAAAAUCUAUGAAAUGGGUCCGACCUCACAAGCACUUAUACACACAAACUAAUGAAAAGCAAUAAACGCAUACACAGAGCAGACAGAGUGCAAAGGCAUAACAUUUAGUUGCCUCUGAUUUGCAGUGGUGGUUAACUUUACACUCACUCAUCGUUCGAGGGCACAAAACGAUCUCUCCUCAAUACACACUCUCAAAUUCGCCAAUGAACACUUCUGACAUGACCGACACAACAAUGCAAUUGUUUUAAAAUGAGUGGUAUUAGUUUAUGAGUUGAAAAGUAAAGGAGAGGAGUUGCAAUGCUUGAUCUGUGUUUGAGACAAUUUGUUGGUUUAGUGAAAAUCAGGGAGAUGCGACCUGUUGAUGUUUACUGAUUUUGUGGUUUAACGUUAAGUGGCGUUAAGUCGUAAAAAUGCUAUAAAACUCAGACAGGCUUCUGGUUAUGGCUUUUGCCAAGAGUAUUGCUGAUCGUAAACACUUGUGUGUUUAACCAAACGGAAGGAAUAAAUAAUGGUGUACGGACGAUUAUUUUAACACUAGUACGGAGCCCCCUUUGAAGUACUGAAGUAAAAAAAUGCGGGAACGGCAGUUGAAUUUAAUAAUUUAGUGAUUAAAAUCCAUUAUGCCCUAUUAAAGGUAUCGUUAAUUGAUGUAAAAUAAAAAGUCAAUAUAAACAUU
rnacentral:lncRNA from 1 species